UUUGGGACUUCUUUUUCCAUCUAUGUUCUUUUUGUUUUCAGAUCUUGUUCAAUCUGAAUCAACUUCUUCCUUUUUUGAACCAUUGGCCGUCUUGUGCUACAGAAAAUGGCCAAUACUUGAAGAUCUGACGAGUGGAUUAAAUCUUCACGCUAUUUUACCUUUGUGCCUGGAGCCUGGAAAUGUUCUGGAAUGCAUUGGUGUUAGAUGCAACUCAUCCACGUCCAAUUGCGAAUUGCUCAAAAAACCUCCAAUGGGCCCUACAAAUUGCAUUGUAAACCCUGUUCCGAUGGAGGAAAAAGUCUUUUUCAAAAGUGAAUUGGUGAAGCACCAACCGGAACUCGCAAUAAUUGAAUUGGAAACUGGAAAAAUCGUAUCGGCGUCAUAUGAAGAGAUUCCUCCUAUCUCCAUCUCUGCCAUAGCUUCAACCGUGUUACAAGCUCAAUGGGGGGCGGACAUUUUGACUUGUUCCGAAACGUCAACGGAAUGUCAUUAUUGGAGUAAAGGUGAGGUUCUGAAAGCUUCACUCAAAAAUUCAGUUCUCUUUUGUCUACCCACAUUUGGAAUUUUAGUGUAACCGGUAACUCCUUACUUUAUGGGUUGUAAUGACGAGUCGAAAGCCGUCGAAUGGUAACUGUGUGUAAUUUCCAUAAUCCAUGGGAACAGGCAUGAACAUUGACAUAAGAGUAAUAUGCAUCAUCUCUCUUUGAUAUCCUUCACCUUGGUCAAAGUUGUAUUUGUCCCUUCAUAGUCAUCUUGCGCCUUCGUCAAUAGCGCAGAACUUCGCGCAUUUGGGCAAUAUGAGCUUUUAAUGGGUCUGCAAAGAUGCAAAGAGUAGCGAAAUGUCUAUGAUCUUUCUCCUCUUCGAAAUUCCUUAGAAAGUAGCAUCACCCCUUUAGGCAAUACUCAAUACAAGUAGACUAAAGUCCCAUUGGACCUCUAAGGUCUUGAAAACGUGCAGAUUUUCGUUUGUUGUUUGUAUUAUGUUCUCUAUGUCAUACAAGGGAAUGAGAUUUCCGGUAAAUUUGUAAUGUGGAAUUAUUCUUAGUGCUAAAUUUGAUCAUGAAACGAUUUUUAAAUUAGCAGCCAACUUCAACCUUGGCCAUGAGGCUUAUUUGGAACAAUCUUUAUACAUAUCUCCAAAUCGUUCUUAAAACUUAGUAAUGGGUCAUCUCUUAGAUAAAAUCGACGGAGGGAAUUCGGAUGAAGCCACCAGCUCAAUUUUUUUUUGUCAAAAAAACAAUAAAA